CGCCCUUAGAGUUUGAUCCUGGCUCAGAACGAACGCUGGCGGCGUGGUUGAUACAUGCAAGUCGAAUGGGAAAGGGGGCUUCGGCCUCCGAGUACAGUGGCGGACGGGUGAGUAACGUAUGAUCAAUCUGCCCUCAAGACUAGGAUAGCCAUCCGAAAGGGUGGGUAAUACUGGAUAAUCUCACGGCGGGGCAUCCCGCUGUGCGAAAAGGAUUGGGAUCUUCGGACCUUUUGCUUGAGGAUGAGAUCAUAACCUAUCAGUUUGUUGGCGGGGUAACGGCCCACCAAGACGACGACGGGUAGCCGGCCUGAGAGGGUGGACGGCCACACUGGAACUGAGACACGGUCCAGACUCCUACGGGAGGCAGCAGUGCUGAAUUAUUCGCCAAUGCGCGAAAGCGUGACGGUGCGACGCCGCGUGCGGGACGAAGGCCUUCGAGUUGUAAACCGCUGUCAGGGAUUAGAAAACCUGCAUGGUUAAUAGUCAUGCAGCUGAUCAGUCCCAAAGGAAGCACAGGCUAAUCUCGUGCCAGCAGCCGCGGUAAUACGAGAUGUGCGAGCGUUGUUCGGAAUCACUGGGCAUAAAGGGUGCGUAGGCGGUAUGCCAAGUCGGGUGUGAAAUCCCUUUGCUUAACAGAGGAACUGCACUCGAUACUAGCAUGCUAGAGGGUCAAAGGGGCAAGCGGAAUUCUAGGUGUAGCGGUGGAAUGCGUAGAUAUCUGGGAGAACGCCAAGGGCGAAGGCAGCUUGCUGGGUGACAUCUGACGCUGAGGCACGAAAGCUAGGGGAGCAAACAGGAUUAGAUACCCUGGUAGUCCUAGCCGUAAACGAUGAGCACUUUGUUCCGGGGGACCUGAUUCCUUCGGAGCCGUAGCAAAUGUGUUAAGUGCUCCACCUGGGGAGUAUGGUCGCAAGGCUAAAACUCAAAGGAAUUGACGG
rnacentral:rRNA from 1 species